rnacentral:lncRNA from 1 species
GCUUAUGCCGUGAUCGCGGUACGGCGGACUGUAGUAGUUCAUUCGUCGUGGCGAGCGACCGCCUCCGUCCUGAGCGGGAGCGGCCAGCGCUGGGCUGGGGGGUGUGUGCCGGACCACCCCCCCGGGGCCACGCCGGGGGCUCGGGGACAGACUGACGGAGGGGACGGUGGGGUUUGAGCAGCAGGCGGGGGGUGGCGGUCGGAUCCAUGCUGGGGAGGCUGAGGAAUCGCGAUGCUCCUCGCCCCGGGGCAAGCACUGACCUUCCAUCCCGAGCCCAGGGGCUCGGCCGGCGGCCCUCCGUGUUCUCGGGAGGUGGGCAGGCCUGCCCCAGACUGAGCCCCUGGGCCCUGCCCCGGCUGGCGCCACCACCAUCAAGGGAUUACCCAGGGGGGCCCGCGGACCCGGCGGGCUUCGCCUUCGGGCGGCCACUCGCCUUGAUGAUUUUUUUAUUUUUUUAUUUUUGCCAAAGACGCCGUCCCAGCGCGCCGGGCGGGCCGGGGUUCCAUGGGACAGACAAAGCGGUCUUGGUUUGUCACUACGGCAAGCGUGGGCAGGUGCUGCGGGAAGGGGGCCGGUGGGAAGGCCCAGGGGGAAUGUGUGACCUCGGACCAAGUCCUCUCCAGGCACCCCGUGCCACCACCGCACCCCCUCUCCCACCUUCUGCUCGGUGUGGGCAAAGUCCCCCCAGCCUGGACCCCCCCGGCCCGUGCCCUGACCCCUCCGUUGGGGCUAAUGUGAAGCUUCACCCUCCCCUCCCGAGCCCCCUCCUCUCCUUUGCACACGAGGCCCGGGCGGCGCGGCCAGCACGACUGGUCCCCGCCUCGCAGCCACUGUGCCUUAGCCUGAGCUGGCCACUCCUGCCCAGUUGUCUCCUGAGCCUGUUCUGGUCCCCCAGGGCUGGCGGUGUCCCCCGGAGCUGCCACGGGGUGACUGGUGGUAGUGGCAGCACCCAAAGCACAGCUGGCAGUGCCCAGCAGGGCCCCGGCCCCCCUGUAUCACGUCCAUUUGUACACGGGCUCCUCGCCCUUUUUUUUUUCUAUAGUCGAAAUGGAAUGAGCAAUAAAGUGACAUUAACAUGCGUGGCCUCACGUCCUUCUCUGGGGGGAGGCCUGGCUGGUGCAGGGCUGGUGCUGA